rnacentral:rRNA from 1 species
AACGUACCCAAAGGUACGGAAUAGCUUCGGGAAACUGGAGGUAAUACCGUAUGUGCCCUUCGGGGGAAAGAUUUAUCGCCUUUGGAUCGGCCCGCGUAAGAUUAGGUAGUUGGUGAGGUAACGGCUCACCAAGCCUACGAUCUUUAUCUGGUUUGAGAGGAUGAUCAGAAACACUGGGACUGAGACACGGCCCAGACUCCUACGGGAGGCAGCAGUGGGGAAUCUUGGACAAUGGGCGCAAGCCUGAUCCAGCCAUGCCGCGUGAGUGAAGAAGGCCUUAGGGUUGUAAAGCUCUUUCAGGGGUGAGGAUUAUGACAGUAACCCCAGAAGAAGCACCGGCUAACUUCGUGCCAGCAGCCGCGGUAAUACGAAGGGUGCAAGCGU